rnacentral:lncRNA from 1 species
CCUUAACCCACUAUGCCAGGCUGGGGCUCAGACCUGUGCCUCCACAGAGACAAGCUGGAUCAUUAACCCACUGUGCCACAGUGGGAACUCCUCAGUUUUUUAAUUAAGUUCUUUUGCAUCUUUUUUAUCAGGUUCCACAUGUAAGUGAUAUUACUGGGACUUCUUAAAGCUUAGGUCUAGCGCUAAUAUUAGCGUCAUCUCCACUGAUUCUGUCAGCUAAUAUCUCAGACCAAACCCACAUUCAGAAGGAAGACCCCACACCAAGAUGUAAAUACUGGGAGGAAAAGUUUAUUGGAGCUCCCCAAUGUAAUGACCAUAAGGGCAAUUUAUAUUCCACCUUUCAAACUUAUACUGUAUUUCUUUAGGGCCAUGGAAGAGGCAAGAAUUUAAAAAAAAAAAAAAAGUUUUCAGGUAAAGUAAUUGAAAGGGAGGUACUAGAUGAGACUUGUAGAAGGGGUAGAAGGUAAGAGAAAUGUAAUCAACCCCAAAAUAGCCUAACUGAACAAAACUGUUGUAAAAAUUGUGCCUUAAUAUAUUGCAGGGUUGUUUUUUUUUUAAUCGUUAAACUAGCUUAUUGGAAAAUAAGGAGUUGCCUAUAGAAGCUUUGUCAGCCACUGCGUAUUACGUAUUACAUAAUCCUCGAGAAGAUGAACAAAGAGAAUGACACACAAGGUCAUUACAGGAGUGUAUACACUACACCCUCACCAGGAAUCAGGAUGAUGGUCAGGCUAACAAGCAGGGUCAUUACACAGACAAUAGCAGGCAGUGGCUCAACCUCUACAUCCCAAGCUCCACACAGACCACUACAGCCUGGCGUGGGUUCUGUUAAGUUUCUUCUGGGCCCUCACUGGAAAGGGACUAGGGAAUACCCUCGUUCUACAGGCCAUUUUUAUGCAGCAGCUUUACUUCCUCAAAUCAAUGAAGCCAUUGAAACUCUAUGGAUCUUCCAUUAAUGAGACUUAUAUAUGAUAUAGAUCUUUAUUUCCUUCCAUAAGGCCACUGGAAGAAACCACAGAAUUCUGAGAGGUUUUGGGUGGGUCUUGCUUGAUAAGAACAAGUUAGGUUUAUUUGUUAAUUGCUUUGGAUUGCCUCAUAUUUUGAUAGCAUUCCACAAAACUUGUUUGUAAGCCUUAACUACACAUGCCUACCAACUUAAUGUCAUAUUUAAUAUUUUCAAAGAAAAAAAUCAUAUAAAUUAAAACUGACAUUUAUUGGCAUUUCCUUAGUUUUUUUCUGAAGGUCGACUGGUCUUUUUAUUAUUUAAAUUUGGGAGGCCAUCUUAGAAAAAGAAGAGAAAAAGUUAAGUCAUUGAAUAGCACAAAUAAUACUAUUUGAAGAAACUCACAAAAGAUGUUUUCCCAAAUUGAACAUAUGGAGCAUAAUAUGUUAUGACAUUAGUUUUCCUUUUUAUUUCUAAACAUCUACUAAAAUGACUUUAUUUCUGCAAUAUGCAAGAUCCUUUCAUCAAGCCAAAUGGUCGAAUUAGCAUUUACAUCAUUUUAAAUUAUGACACCAAGUUAACAAAAUAGAAGCGCUAAAGUAGAAACAAUAAAACAUUAACACUCACAUCACCUAAACCUUGUCUUCUCUUUCUGGAUGCUGCAGCUUCUUUAGAUGAAACGCGAAUGGAUUUUCAAGGAGGAGAAAGAGCAAUACCAUGGUUCUGUAAAAUAACUGUAAAUUCAUCUCAAGAAUCUUCUAACAAAGUCCCAUAAAUGCUUGACAGGAAUCUCUGUCAUUAUAUUCACCACUGACAAAGUACUUAACAUAAGCAAACUUCCUGUUAAGUCAGUAGGAGAUGCUGAUCCACAAUCACAGUAGGUAUCAGAUGCCUUGGGGCCACUGAGCAAAAACUGAGAUGGACAGAGAAACUCAUGCUUUGCUCCUAGGAUGUCAUCCCAUAGACAGGAUUAGAGUGAAUAAGAAUAUGUAUAAAAUCAUUUAAAAUUUUUCUGGGGGUGUUAAAAGGUUUUAACCAAAUUUAAAGUUACACAAUAAGUAUACUCAAUGUCAUCACCACCUCUUCACGCUUCAUAUUAACAAGACAGAAGAGUAGUACCCAGUGAUAGUCAUGUGGUGGUCGAUAGUCGUUAAAGAACAUUCACUUCCAUCUUCUUUGGUGUGUGAAACAAGAUUUAUUAUCUAAUGUUUAUUAUUUGCCAAAAAUGUAUUAGCAAUACCUCAUAAAAUUUGACAGUAGUUAAUAUAUGACUAUAUCCCAGAACUUUAAACACGCAGUUUUCUAACGUCACUGUUUACGAAUCCAGAAAGUAAGAUUAUAAGUUUCCAUUAAUCAUUUUUUAUAAGGAUGCAAUUACUGAAUAAGAAUAGUUCAAGUAAAAACAUCAGAACUGUCAGAACUGGUUGAGGCAAAGUAAAUGAAAGAUAGAAGCACUUAGGAAACAUACAGCACAGCACAAAAGAGUGAUCAUCAGGGGUUCCCCUCGUGACGCAGUGGAAAUGAAUCCGACGGGGAACCAUGGUUCAAGGGAUUGAACCAUGAGGCAGGUUCAAUCCCUAGCCUCACUCAGUGGCUUAAGGAUCCAGCGUUACCGUGAGCUAAGGUGUAGGUUGCAGACGAGGCUCGGAUCUGGUGCUGCUGUGGCUCUGGUGUAGGCUGGCAGCAACAGCUCCAAUGUGACCGCUAGCCUGGGAACUUCCAUAUGCCAUGGGCAUGGCCCUAAAAAAAAGACAAAAGACAAAAAAUAAAAAGAGUCAUCAUCAUCAUCAUUCUCCAAAGGAUGGAAAAUACCCAAUUAUAAAAGGAAAGAAACACGAAAGUGUGGGCAGAGUUUCUAACAGAAAGGCCAUUGUUUACCCAUAAGUCUCACGCCUUAGAAAUAGGAACACCUGCCAGGUAAUUAAAUACACCCACAUGCAGAAAUGUUCCAUUGCUUUUUUUUUUUUAAUUUUAAUUACCAUCAUUUAUUAUAAUCACUAACAAGUAAUUUUCUAAGCAACAUAAGAUCAGCAUUGAAAUUGAAGUAAGCUAAACAGUCAAAAUCUGUUCAAGUCACCACCCUUGGCUACACGUGUACUGAUUCAAGGACAAGACUAUUGAGCGUCAAGAUUUCCUCUGCAUUUUCUUGCCUAUGUAGCAAAGCAGCUCCUGCAGUCAAGGGCAGCCACUACACUGGAACACUGAUAAAUUAUACUGCUCAGUGAAACUAAGUUUAGUAGGGUGUAACCCAUCAUUUCUUCACCUGCACCCAAGCCAAUUUGGCUUUCCACACCCAUUAUAUCUCCAUGUCCAAUUAAGUGACAUUUAUCUUUAAGCCUUUAAGCCCCUCUAAGAGCCUUGGUCCUUAACUUUUAGCAAAGUAUUGGUACUAUUGGAAAUUUAUGUCUUUAAUGCCACAAAGAAAAUAUGAAACUUCUUCCUCAGUCAGGAAAGAAAGAAACUGUUUCGAAUAAAUUUUUAAAGCUGAGAUUCUCCAUACCAGAAAUGCUCAACUCACAGCGAUAUUAAACACAAACAUAUUCAAAACACACACUAAAAAUACAUGUUCAAGAAGCUUUAAGAAGCAUGUCUUACCUUUCCUAUAUAUGAGACACUCUAAUGUUUUCUACUCUUUUUUUAUACUGCUCAUGAGCCCUAAUUUGGUUUUACCAACCCACUAAUUGGGCACUAAUUUGAAAAACACAGCUCCUUCUAUUCAAAUACCAAUUUAUAAUUCUUCAUAAAAAUCACAGUAUUGGUAUGACACUGCCAGCAGAUGAGACAAAAAAAGACACUCCAAAGAGGUAACCGACUAGUGAAUAGGCCCAUUUCUGAAACAUGAAUGAGAUAAGCAACAAGAUAUCCAGAGCAGGUGAGCAGCAACCUCACUUCUGGAAAAGCAAACCUGAUGUUUGUUACCACAUUGAAAGGACUCUGUAACAGAAGCUUGGACAGGAAAAUGGAAACUUAAACAUGAUUUUACUUUUUCUCAUUAUGUAGGCAUGACAUUUUAACUGAUAAUAUCUCCAGUUGAAAAGGAUGCAAGAGAACAUGUGUGCUGUUAUUAGGACUGUAAUUUUGUACAGCAGUUUGGGAGAGCGACUGGGAGCAUAUAACUAAAUUUUGAACACACAUCCCCUCUUGACUCAGCAAUUCUAAUAAUGUGUGUCAGGCUCUUACAGGUGCACAGACACAUUAUACGUAAAAAGACACUGACCAGAGGGGAGGAAAGACUCAUUCAUGGUAUAAUCACAGUUUUUAAUUAUAUGAAGAAAUGAGAAAAAGACAAGCUAUUUCCAUAUCACUGUUUCUCAACGGGAUGCCACUGGCGGUCUGGGUGGGAUACUUUGUCAUAAAAGGCCCUCACAUAUUCAAAAAUAUCCCCUAGGGGAGGGUGGCACGAUCUUUGAUUGAGAGAAACCACUAUUCCAGGUGUACUGUAAAGAAUCAAAGAAAGAUGUUACGAGAAAAAAAAAAAGCAAGCAAGCUGCAGAACCAUACAUACAGUUUGACUCUAACUAUAUGAAAUGAAAAUAAAUCAGCCCCAUUGGUGUGUGUGUGCUCUGAAUGUAGUCAAUUCAGGGACCUGUGAAGGGAUUUCUAAAUCCUGCUUUAUGAGCCCUGAUACUGUUUGAUUUUAAAAGAAAAAGAAUUUCUUUAUGAACACAUGGUUUAAUUUUAUUGGGUAAACAAUACUUUAUGUGGGGAUGCUAAACUCCAUAAGAUAUUUCACAGUGGCUACUUUGAGAGCUAGGAUUGGGUACCACCUUGGAAUGAUCUAUAAAACAGGGAGGGAAAGAGAAUAAGAGGAAUGAAUAUGUUUCUAGUAACAUCUUGAGUCAUAAAAGUCACUUUCCUAUUAAAGUGUUAAGAUCUUUCUUUAAUAAGUUAAUUAAACAUACAUAAAAAGAAUUAAAACAUAGAACUUGAACAACAUUACUUGAGUUUUAAGUUCACACUGUCACCCUCUUCCCACAAUACAUGUAAAAAUAUGACCUCUGACCUCCACAUCCAGCUCGUAUUUCAUGCUCCUUUUAUUCAGGUCAGCAGCUGGUCCACCCACCUGCCCCACCCGACGGAAGCUCUGUGAGGCCAGGGGCCAGAUUCAAUCCAUUGGUCACUCUCCACUCUCCCUUGAAAGGCUGCUUGUCAGUAAGAGGUUGUUUUUGUUUGGUUUGUUUUUCGUUUUUGUUUAAUCUGUGAAACAAACACCUGGCUUGGCAUGAUUUUUAACUAGUUUAUAGUGUUGAGACAAGUGAGAGGAAAAUGGACCAUAUUCAAGAGCAAGAGUUGAACACAAAAUUACUAUCAGUCAUUCUUUCCUACUAUAAGGAAUUUAAGUUUUUUCUAUUUUAGUAACUUUGAAACUAAAAGAACUAAGCAAAGGCCACAUGAUAUACUAUCAUUUUAUGUGAGGAAUUAAUCAAAAGGAUUACAUGCAAAUAAAAUCAGCAGAAUAAUAACAGUACUCCGCAGCACACACUGCAGUGCCCAGAAGAUUGGGUUCUCCUCUCUCUUCCUUUUUUUCUUUCUUUCUUUCUUUUUUUUUGGGGGGGGAGGGCAGUGCCCAAGGCAUGUGGAAGUUCCUGAGCCAGGGAUCAAACCUGUGGUGCCACAGCAGCGACCUAAGCUGGUGCAGUGAUGCUGGACCCUCAACCCACUGCACCACAAGAGAACUCCCCAAGUCCUCUCUCUUAUUAACACAACACCAACUACCUUCCAGGGCAGCCACGUGCACAGAUGAAAACACAAGAGCCCCCC